UCCCAGCUACUCGGGAGGCUGAGA
rnacentral:piRNA from 2 species